UAAGAUCUAAUCCAGAGUACCACGAGACACGUGAAACCUUGUGGGAAGCAGGGAGGACCACCUCCCAAGGCUAAAUACUACCUAGUGACCGAUAGUGAAGCAGUACCGUGAGGGAAAGGUGAAAAGAACCCCGGAAGGGGAGUGAAAUAGAACCUGAAACCGUGUGCCUACAACCGAUCGGAGCACGUUAAAGUGUGACGAUGUGCUUUUUGUAGAACGAGCCAGCGAGUUACGCUAUGUAGCAAGGUUAAGUACUUAAGGUAUGGAGCCGAAGGGAAACCGAGUCUGAAAAGGGCGAAAAGUUGCAUGGUGUAGACCCGAAACCGGGUGACCUAUCCAUGGCCAGGUUGAAGCGAGAGUAAAAUCUCGUGGAGGACCGAACCACGUUGGUGUUGAAAAACCAUGGGAUGAGCUGUGGAUAGCGGAGAAAUUCCAAUCGAACUCGGAGAUAGCUGGUUCUCCUCGAAAUAGCUUU
rnacentral:rRNA from 1 species